GCAUUUUAAUAAAAAAACAUCUAUUUGUUCUCCAAUUUUUUUUAUUCUCAUAAAAAAAUGUUCAUUUCUCUAAUUUCUGUUGCUUUUUUUCCCAUGCACCCCCUGCUUCUCCCACACGUUCCAACUUGUGACAGAGAUGCUUCUGUGAUGAAAGAAUUAGGACCUGGGAAGAGGCAGUCAUGAUCUGGAUGCUUCAGAGGAUCAUCUUGGGAGAUGAUAACUCAUUUCGUACCAUCAGUCAAUGUCUGUAACCACCUGCUUUUGGAGGAGAAUGCCAGGAUGAUGUCACCCAGAGGCUGCAGCUCUUUGCUUCAGCAGCUUUUGAGGAUGUGGUACCACAUGAAUGAGGCUGGAUGAGAAGCUGGAGAAAACCAGCAGGGAGAAGAAAGCAUGUAUGGUCAGCACAGAGUUUACUUCUUGCUUUUUCUUCUAACUGGCACUAUUUGAAGAAUGCCAUUUUAAUGUCAGGUUAUGCUGAAGAAGAGUCCAGCUCCUGCUUUUUCAGACCUUCUGAAGCAGGAAAGAACUAACAGCCUGCACUAGACCUCUUAUCAGUGCAGAGCUUGGACUAAAUGUGUCUUUGUUGACCUUCUCCUCCUCUUGCUACAGCAAAGAAAUUACCUUAGUUUCAAAAAAGCUGACAUGUAGGUACAGCUGGUAUGUAUUAGCACUUUGGUUGUAUAUUGCUGGAACACAAAUAAUUUGGCAGCUGUGAUUUUA
rnacentral:lncRNA from 1 species